GUUUUUAAGCCUGGGUUGUUUCUGCGGACUUGCAUGUUAUUGAAACACCUAUGCCUAAGCGGCUAAACGAAGGUUAUGGGUCUUCAGGAUUUUUAUUCAAAGAAAAAAUGUAAGAGGAAACCUCAACAUUAAUGUAAAGAAAAACCCCAGGGUAUCAAGAAAGAGAAAAGACUCACUUUAUAAAUAAGAGAUUGGUCAACUACAUCCCUAUCUUUCAUAUGGACAAUUAAUUAAGCAAUCCUCUGUAGAGACAUUAUAGAAAUGCCUCCGGGCCAAGUGCACCUCGUGGGCCAGGUCUGAAUGUUGUUUAAAAAUGUGUAUUAUUGAGCAAAAACAGCCUUUGGAGUUGAUCCUGCUGAAAUGUAUCUUGAAACGGCUUUCAGUUCAUCACCUAAAUCACUCGCAUCAAUAUUGCGCGUGUCAUCAUGUGUCAACACUGUCUCUAGUGCCCUGCAUUGCUGGUGUAGGUCUUCUUCAGGUACAGUGAGGAGUUUUGGAAUAUCAUACAACAUCCCUUACCAUGAGGUGACGGCUGGAGGAGUGGAGCAGCUGGUGGAGCAGAGCUGUUUGUGGGUAAAACUCUGCAGAUAAACUUUUGAACUCUGAGGCGGCACUGACCAGGGACAGAGCCUUUUGGGUUGUUGGACUUUGGGGUGAUUUGGACUUAAGACCCUGAGGGGAAAGGGACAUUGCCAAACUUACUUGAAGGUGGGUCUUUUGCUCAUGGUUUGUGUUAUGAAUCCUGUUUGUGGUGUUGUCCCAACAUAAUGCCGCAUUGUUUCCCUCCUUUAUUAAAAGGAUUUUCCUACA